CACGUAGGGCGAAGCGUUGUCCGGAAUUAUUGGGCGUAAAGAGCUCGUAGGCGGUCUGUUACGUCUGCUGUGAAAACCCGGGGCUUAACCCCGGGCCUGCAGUGGGUACGGGCAGACUAGAGUGCGGUAGGGGAGACUGGAAUUCCUGGUGUAGCGGUGAAAUGCGCAGAUAUCAGGAGGAACACCGGUGGCGAAGGCGGGUCUCUGGGCCGUAACUGACGCUGAGGAGCGAAAGCGUGGGGAGCGAACAGG
rnacentral:rRNA from 1 species